ensembl:lncRNA
GCUCCUGAUUGGUUACCUGUCCUCGAGGUCUGAGCGGAGCGUGAUUGGUCAGUGGUUUCGUCCAAUCGGCGGCCGGCUGUCGGAUUCAAAUCCAGAGCGUUGGGCCUGCGGUCGUUGGCCUCAUUCGAGUCGUUGCCCCGGCCUUAGGCGGACGUGGAGCUCCUUGUGCCCCGUUUCCUUGUCCCGGUUUUUUCCUUCGCACGCCAGCAGGAUGGCCCACAAGCAGAUCUACUACUCAGACAAGUACUUCGACGAGCACUACGAGUACCGGUUAGUGUCCAGCAUGCUGUUUGAGGAAUAAGACACUUUUUUAAGAGAGUGGAUUCACCGCCCCACCCCCAUUCUCUCAAGCCGCUAGUAUAGAAGUCUUCACAGCCAGAAAACUUUCUCCGGGCUGUUUUACGAUGCAUUAAUGCUAUGAACUUGAAUGUUUUUAAGUAGAAAAUCUUGUGGGUUUUUUUAUUUAAAAAUUUAGAUAUAUAAUCUUUACUAAUAAUUACAAACUUCACAAUGGAAACCAUGUGAUAAAUUGACAUGAUAUUUGGUGGUUAUAGUAACUCAGAGCCCAGUUUGGGAAUAUCCAGUAAUUACCGAAAGUAAAUUUCCCUUCUAAAUUAGGCAAAUAAUUACUUGGGUGGAAAUGUUUAGCAUAUGGGGUUAUAUACAUUUCUUUAGGGCGUUGCCAGACUGAGAUGGUUUUUAAACUUGGGGUGUAUAAGUUUGGGUGUUGUGUGUGGAAGCAAUUGCUGGUCUGUCCUAAGUAAUUUAUUCCGAUAUAAAUUAGGAGCUAGUCUACCCACUGCUAUAUUUGUAAUGGAAUCCAGAGCUCACGAGAUUUUAUUUUGUAACAUUAAGUGUUUUUAAAGCUUGCUAUUCUGCCACAGUUGCUGAAAUGAUGGGUGUGUCACCACACCUGCCUUGAGCUUAAUUGACCAACCUUUACAAAAGAUGAGGAAUUAGAGAGGUACUCUUGAGAGGGACUGUGUACUGGUGAUACGACACAGGUAUAAGUCUAGGAUGGUUUAUAUUGUAGACCUACAGUGUGUUGGAUAUAUUUCAAAACAGUGGUUUUUGUCAAGGGGUGGUUACUAGGAACAGUAGAUAUUACCCCUUCUCUAAUAUCAUGGAGUACUUUUUUAUUGGCAUUUUUGAGGGGGUCUCUAUAGCCCUGGGUUUUAUGGAACUCCACGUUCGAAGAGAUCCAGCUUUGUCUGCUUUUGUAGUCCUGGGAGGUACCUGUGUGGCAUCAUGCCCAGCUUGGGAGCCUGUCUUUACAGAAAUAAAAUGGGGGUUAGAGUGCUUUUAUAAAGUAGUCAUAUAUAGAUAGCACUUUUUGUAUUCCAACCAAAACUUUGGUCUUGGGAAUAGUGUUCUUUGUACAUGAUCAGUAAUAGACACGUAAAAUCAUAAACAUUAUAAUUGACCCCUGGUAAAGUGCAGCCUUUUACAUGAUUUAUGUAGAAGAUACUUGAGGUGCCUUGUAUCUAAAUGCCUUGUAGGGACAGUGCUGUUAUCAGUGGAAAUAUAAGGUCAUGGGGUAUAAAGUUGGAAGUUGAUGAAGCACUAAAGGGUCUCUGAGUUCAGAGAAAAUCCCAAAAAUAGGUAACCCAAGGUGUCCUGAAACUUGACAAUCCUUCCUGCCUCCACUAUGAUCUAUAGCCAGCAACAAAGCAGUAGCAAUAACAAGAACACUGAGCAGUAUUUCAAGACUGAGUGGUGUGGGUGGGCAAGAAUAUUUAUAUAGGCGCCUAGAAAUAGCGGUGCUGGGGUGUAGUAACCUUGUGUGGUAAAGUUAAUUUAAGGAUUAUUUGUACUCAAAUUAUAAGCCACGGCUUAAAAUCUAUGUUCUGGACAGUUUAGUGCUUAUGGUGGUUUCUGGGUGGCACUGUAGCAAUUCCAAAUAUUCAGAGCUGAAUUUGCAUCUCCAUCGUCUCACAGACUUUACUUCACCAGAAAUUGGUAAUUGCUAAUUGGAAAUUUAUAACCAGAAAGGGUAAAAUAAGGCUGGCAUUUAGAAAUACUUUGUGGUGACAAUGCUUUAUGUAGGCAAGGUUACAAAUCUGCCUAUACAUAUAUGUAUGGAAAUUGUGUGUUUUGGCCCUGAAUCAAGGCCAGCAGUUUACUGAAGCUGUUGGUUUCAAGCGGGAGCCUACAGAACUGUCUUUCUAUGGUCUGUUGGCCAUUUGAAAAAUUUGUAAAUCUAAUGGUCAAUUCAUUAGAAAGAAACAUCUAUCUGGAUGUUGUACCCAGUUUGUAUAAUUGUAGCCCUUGGGAGCCUAAGGCAAAAAGAUAGUUUGAGGGCAGCUUGCAUGGCAGCAUAAUAGGGGUGAGGGGAGUCACAAAGAAACAGCUGAGUCACUAGUGAUAGAGGUGGAUAGACAUGCCUGGUAUUUUUAGAUGCUCAAUUUCUUCACAAGCUCAGCAGCUAAGAACACUGACUGUUCUUCUAGAGGUCCUGAGUUCAAUUCCCAGCAACCACAUGGUGGCUCACAACCAUCUAUAAUGGGAUCUGAUGCCCUCUUCUGGUGUUUCUGAAGAUAGCAACAGUGUACUCACAAUAAGAGGCAUCAGGUCUCAUUACAGAUGAUUAUGAGCCACCAUGUGGUUGGUGGGAAUUGAACUCAGGACCUCUGGAAGAGCAGUCAGUGCUCUUAACAGCUGAGCCAUAUCCCCAGCCCCUCAUAAGUCUUAAUGAGAGUCCAAGGUUUCUGUAUAAUACUUAUACAGCUUAAUUUAGCUUUUGUUGGGUCUGUUACUAAGAAGAAAAGAUUAGUGUGGGUUUUCCACAGAAAAGGAAAAAUUGUUCAUAAUGCCUUGAUACUAAAUACUUAUAGUGCUUCCCUAAAGUUCUGGAAAUGCACUAGUCACUUACUGGGAAACUAAAAGUCUGCAUAAAGUUCCAAAGGCAUAGUUUUGCUUUUAAUUUUGAAGCAUGAAGGAAAACUGGAAUAUAUAUACAAGAAAACUCGGGCAUAAUCUUGCUUUUUGAGUAUACUUUCAGUGCUUAAAUAUUCUACCUAUGUCCUGUAGACCAAGAGUUGCUUCAUGACCAACGGCAACUAUAGGAGAGGUUAAGAUAUAUAAUAAUGUGCCCAACUUAGAUUUAAGAUUCUAUUCCUGGAAGAUUACUCAAUAGCAAAUACUCUGCUAGAAACUUACCCCUUCAGAAUAAAAUGCGUUUCAUUUUUGUGCAGCUUACUAUUGGCCUAAUACUUACUGGCCAAAGUAUAGGCUAUAAGGAGUACCCAAGAUUGAUGCAGAUAUUAUUGGAAUCUAUAGUUGCUUUAGAGAAUUGAGUUUGUUGAGGACAAAACCCUUCAAAUUUUAAGUUAUCACAAAGGUACCUGUAUAAGUGGUGAUGGUAAGAAAGAUGGCACUAAUCUUCCGCUGACUAUCCUAACAGGCAUGUCAUGUUACCCAGAGAACUUUCUAAACAAGUACCCAAAACUCAUCUGAUGUCCGAAGAGGAGUGGAGGAGACUUGGUGUUCAACAGAGUCUAGGAUGGGUUCAUUACAUGAUCCAUGAGCCAGAACCGCAUAUUCUUCUCUUUAGACGGCCUCUUCCAAAAGAACAACAAAAAUGAAGUACAGCUGGGAUCAUCUAAUAAUCUUUUUCAAAUUUAAUGUAUAUGUGUAUAUAAGGUAGUAUUCAGUGAAUACUUGAAAAAUGUACAAAUCUUUCAUCCAUACCUGUGCAUGAGCUGUAUUCUUCACAGCAACAGAGCUCGGUUAAAUGCAACUGCAAGUAGGGUUAUUUUAAGUUGUUAAAGAUAAAUUUUCUUGUAGUUUUUUUCUUAAUAUAAAUGCCUGUUUUACUUUACCUGUUUUGUUAAAUAAAGUUUGUAUAUUGC